UUCAAGCUUUUUCUAAACUUACACAUGCAAGUCUCAACACACCCGUGAGGACCCCCUUCUACCUACACCAGAACAAGGAGCCGGUAUCAGGCACUAAAUUUGCCCACUACACCUAGUCCCACCACGCCCCCAAGGGCUACAGCAGUGAUAAACAUUGUCCAUAAGCGAUAGCUUGACUCAGUUAUAGAAAAAAGAGCUGGCUAACUCGGUGCCAGCCGCCGCGGCUAAACCGCAUGAGCUCAAGUUGAUAAAUAUCGGCGUUAAGCGUGAUUAAAGAUUCCUAAAAAUUAGGGUAAAAUUAUCAUUUAGCUGUAACAAGCUUAUUACUUAAGAAAAACAAAAACGAAAGUUACUCUAAUACACUUGAACCCACGACAGUUGAGGAACAAACUGGGAUUAGAUACCCCACUAUGCUUAACCGUAAAAUAUAAACUUACACUACCAACGCCAGGGAAUUACGAGCCCAGCUUAAAACCCAAAGGACUUGACGGUGUCCCACCCAACUAGAGGAGCCUGUUCUAUAAUCGAUAAUCCCCGAUUUACCUAACCCUAUUUUGCCACUCAGCCUGUAUACCUCCGUCGUAAGCUUACCAUCUGAAUGCCUACAGUAAGUCCAAUGAUCAUAGCAUCAGUACGUCAGGUCAAGGUGCAGCUUAUAUUAAGGAAAGAAAUGGGCUACAAUUUCUAGCUUAGAACAUACGAAAUGCUAAAUGAAACACAACCACGAAGGCGGAUUUAGUAGUAAAAGGGGAAUAAUGUGCCCCUUUUAACAAGGCCCUGGGACGUGACACACCGCCCGCACCCUGUUCAACAUGGCAAGUCGUAACAUGGUAAGUGUACCGGAAGGUGCACUUGGAUAAACAAAAUGUAGCUUAACCCAAAGCCCCUCGCUUACACCGAGAAAAUAUCUGUGAAAUUCAGAUCAUUUUGAGCCAAAAACUUAGCCUAAUUAUAACCUCCUGCGUACCACAAAAAAGUCUUCUAAGCUAAAACAUUUUAUCUAUAUAGUAGAGGCGAUCGAAAAACUUAUUAGAGCCAUAUAACUAGUACCGCAAGGGAAAAAUGAAAUAGUUCUGAAAUAGCCCCAAAGCAAGACACAGCAGAGAUUACCCCUCAUACCUUUUGCAUCAUGGUUUAGCUAGUCCAUAGCAAGCAAAGCGAAACAUCAGUUUGUAACCCCGAAACUAGACGAGCUACUUUAAAACAGUUUAAUAGAACCAACUCAUCUCUGUUGCAAAAGAGUGAGAUGAUUUUAAAGUAGAGGUGAAAAGCCUAACGAGCCUAGAGAUAGCUGGUUACUUAAGAAAGGAAUUUUAGUUCAAUCUCAAACCUCUUUAUUAAGAUAAGAAAUAACCAAAAAUUUGAGAAUUAAUUAAAUAAGGCACAGCUUAUUUAAUAAAGGAAACAGCCUAUAAAAAAGGGUAAAAUUGUUUAUAUAGACAAAGUGGGCCUAAAAGCAGCCAUCUUUAAAAAAGCGUUAAAGCUUCAUCUUCUUAACCUAAUUAAUACCUCGCAACUCUUUAAACCCUUUAACACUAUUAAGUAAUUCUAUAAAUAUAUAGAAGAUUUUAUGCUAAAACUAGUAACAAGAAAUUAUUUUUUCUCCAAAAUUUGAGUAUAUACCAAGAUGGAUAGGCCAUUGGUAAUUAACGUCUAUUAGACAUUAUAGCAACACACACAUCUAGAAAAUACUAUACUUUUAUUACGUUAACCUUACACUAGUAAAUUUCUGGAAAGAUUAAAAGAAAGAGAAGGAACUCGGCAAACUUUAACCCCGCCUGUUUACCAAAAACAUCGCCUCUUGAUAAGAUAUAAGAGGUCCAGCCUGCCCAGUGAUAUUCUUAAACGGCCGCGGUACCCUGACCGUGCAAAGGUAGCAUAAUCAUUUGUUCUUUAAAUAAGGACUUGUAUCAACGGCACUACGAGGGUUAUACUGUCUCCUCUUUCCAAUCAGUGAAACUGACCUCCCCGUGAAGAGGCGGGGAUUUAAAUACAAGACGAGAAGACCCCAUGGAGCUUAAAACCCAAUAACAACUCUUUUUAAUUAAACCCUUAAAAAUAUAGAUUACUGUCUAUUGGUUUUGGGUUGGGGUGACCACGGAGUAAAAAUUAACCUCCUUGACGAAUAGAUUUCAUCUUUAUCCAAGAGCCACUGCUCAACGAAUCAAAAACUUGACAUUACAUGAUCCGCAAUCGAUCAACGAACCAAGUUACCCUGGGGAUAACAGCGCAAUCCAUUUUAAGAGCUCCUAUCGACAAAUGGGUUUACGACCUCGAUGUUGGAUCAGGGUAUCCCAGUGGUGCAGCCGCUACUAAAGGUUUGUUUGUUCAACAAUU
rnacentral:ncRNA from 1 species